AUACCCGCUCCGCGAGUGGUGGGGACUUUUACUGGGCUUAAAGCGCCCGUAGCCGGCUGGGUGUGUCCUCCGUUAAAUCCACAGGCCUAACCUGUGGGCUGCGGGGGAUACUACCCGGCUUGGGGGUGGGAGAGGGCGGCGGUAUUCCCGGGGUAGGGGUAAAAUCCACUGAUCCCGGGAGGACCACCAGUGGCGAAGGCGGCCGCCCAGAACACGCCCGACGGUGAGGGGCGAAAGCUGGGGGAGCAAACGGGAUUAGAAACCCCAGUAGUCC
rnacentral:rRNA from 1 species